UGGUGCUGGUCCCUUCCACUGGAACAC
rnacentral:piRNA from 2 species